rnacentral:rRNA from 1 species
AGACUUUGAAGCGUGGUCGCUAGACUGCGUGGAGUCGACCUUGAAAUACCACCCGUGGUGGUGUUGGGGUUCUAACGCUGACCCGUUAUCCGGGUUGCGGACAGUGUCUGGUGGUAGUUGACUGGGGCGGUCUCCUCCAAAGAGUAACGGAGGAGCACGAAGGUACCCUCAGCAUGGUCGGAAAUCAUGCAAUGAGCGCAAUGGUAGAAGGGUGCUUAACUGCGAGACCCACAAGUCGAGCAGGUACGAAAGUAGGUCAUAGUGAUCCGGUGGCUCUGUAUGGAAGGGCCAUCGCUCAACGGAUAAAAGGUACUCCGGGGAUAACAGGCUGAUUCCGCCCAAGAGUUCACAUCGACGGCGGAGUUUGGCACCUCGAUGUCGGCUCAUCACAUCCUGGGGCUGAAGCCGGUCCCAAGGGUAUGGCUGUUCGCCAUUUAAAGUGGUACGCGAGCUGGGUUCAGAACGUCGUGAGACAGUUCGGUCCCUAUCUGUCGUGGGG